UGAACGCUGGCGGCGUGCCUAACACAUGCAAGUCGAACGGUGGUGAUUGAUAUUUCGGAUGGAUAUCACCAUAGUGGCGGACGGGUGAGUAACGCGUGGAUAACCUGCCUCGUACUGGGGAAUAGCAGCUGGAAACGGCUGGUAAUACCGCAUAAGCGCACAGUGCCGCAUGACACGGUGUGAAAAGAUUUAUCGGUACGAGAUGGAUCCGCGUCUGAUUAGCCAGUUGGCGGGUAACGGCCCACCAAAGCGACGAUCAGUAGCCGGCCUGAGAGGGUGAACGGCCACAUUGGGACUGAGACACGGCCCAGACUCCUACGGGAGGCAGCAGUGGGGAAUAUUGCACAAUGGGCGAAAGCCUGAUGCAGCGACGCCGCGUGAGUGAAGAAGUAUUUCGGUAUGUAAAGCUCUAUCAGCAGGGAAGAAAGGCCCGAAAGGGAGAUGACGGUACCUGACUAAGAAGCCCCGGCUAACUACGUGCCAGCAGCAGC
rnacentral:rRNA from 1 species